rnacentral:lncRNA from 1 species
CUCGCUGUCGCCUUCCCGUCGCCCAGAAGCUCUCCGGAGCAUCGCGCGUCGGUGAGGACCCCGGCCGAGCUGUCUCCGCGCGUCUUCUCACCGUCUUCCGCCCGCACGGCCGCGCCGAGAGGAGCUCGUCGCCGUCACGCUCUGCGCCGCCACCUACGCCUUGUUUCGCCCGGCGCCGACCGCCUAAGCGUGUUCCCCCCGCUUCCCUCUUCCUCCCAGUGCAACCCGCUUGCUGAACCGGGCCCUGGAGCGCCGUUUCGGCCAACUCCGGCCGGCCGCCGCCGUGCGCCGCCGUCCCGCAGCCGCAGUCGCCGCCAGCCGUCCGUUGCCGAUCUGACGGCCCGGAUCUGGCCGCAUCCGGUCAAUACCGGUCAACCGCGCCGCAUUACUCUUGCAUUUAAGCCCCUGCGUUUUCCGCAAAGUGCGCCGCCGUCCGCAGCAGUUCAAAAGUUGUUCAAAAAGAGGUCCCGUUUUCGUUUGAUUUAAACCCCGAGCUUUCGCAGUAUAGCACCCGCAGUCCUGUGUUACCUUUUUGCGCAUAAACCGAAGGUUUAUGCGCGUAAUAGUGUUUAGGUCCUUGUUUACUUGCUGUUUAGCCUCUGGAAGUUUGGUUUUCUCGCAGUUAGACUCCUGCAUUUUGUUUUAAGCAUAGUUUUUGCAUCUUAGCUCCGUUUUUGGCGUUCUUUAUAUCCGCGUGUUCAUUUUAAUGCGUAGAAUAGUUUUUCAAGCUUAUUUUCUCAUUGGGGUACUAUUUUCUUAUGUUAUGUAUUUGUUUACUUAUAUAUGCUCGUGUGAUGUCUGUAGACGGUCAGCAAUUCAAGGGAUUUGAAGAUCAAGCUUUCGAGGAGUAUGAACAGCAAGAGCAAGGUCAAGAAAGCAAGUCGUAUCCUUGAUCACCUCUUUAAGUCCUAUUCACCUUUACUUUCAUGUUCUAUACAACAUUGCCAUGCACAAUAUAGUUUAAACUUGAU